rnacentral:rRNA from 1 species
UAGUAGCGGCGAGCGAAGCGGGAAAAGCUCAAAUUUGUAAUCUGGCGUCUUCGACGUCCGAGUUGUAAUCUCGAGAAGUGUUUUCCGUGAUAGACCGCAUACAAGUCUCUUGGAACAGAGCGUCAUAGUGGUGAGAACCCAGUACACGAUGCGGAUGCCUAUUACUUUGUGAUACACUUUCGAAGAGUCGAGUUGUUUGGGAAUGCAGCUCAAAUUGGGUGGUAAAUUCCAUCUAAAGCUAAAUAUUGGCGAGAGACCGAUAGCGAACAAGUACCGUGAGGGAAAGAUGAAAAGCACUUUGGAAAGAGAGUUAACAGUACGUGAAAUUGUUGGAAGGGAAACACAUGCAGUGAUACUUGCUAUUCGGGGCAACUCGAUUGGCAGGCCCGCAUCAGUUUUUCGGGGCGGAAAAGCAUAGAGAGAAGGUAGCAGUUUCGGCUGUGUUAUAGCUCUUUAUUGGAUUCGCCCUGGGGGACUGAGGAACGCAGCGUGCUUUUUGCAUGAGCUUCGGCUUAUCCACGCUUAGGAUGCGGGUUUAUGGCUGUAUAUGACCCGUCUUGAAACACGGACCAAGGAGUCUAACAUGCUUGCGAGUAUUUGGGUGUCAAACCCGGAUGCGCAAUGAAAGUGAAUGGAGGUGGGAAGCGCAAGCUGCACCAUCGACCGAUCUGGAUUUUUU